CCUACGGGAGACAGCAGUGAGGAAUAUUGGUCAAUGGACGAGAGUCUGAACCAGCCAAGUAGCGUGAAGGAUGACUGCCCUAUGGGUUGUAAACUUCUUUUAUAAAGGAAUAAAACGAGGCACGUGUGCCUUUUUGCAUGUACUUUAUGAAUAAGGAUCGGCUAACUCCGUGCCAGCAGCCGCGGUAAUACGGAGGAUCCGAGCGUUAUCCGGAUUUAGUGGGUUUAAAGGGAGCGUAGAUGGGUUGUUAAGUCAGUUGUGAAAGUUUGCGGCACAACCGUAAAAUUGCAAUUGAUACUGGCAGUCUUGAGUACAGUUGAGGUAGGCGGAAUUCGUGGUGUAGCGGUGAAAUGCUUAGAUAUCACGAAGAACCCCGAUUGCGAAGGCAGCUUACUAAACUGUGACUGACAUUGAUGCUCGAAAGUGUGGGUAUCAAACAGGAUUAGAUACCCGUGUAGUC
rnacentral:rRNA from 1 species